UGCUAAAAAGGACCAUACAAGGCGGUUUUGUUCCACUUAGCAUCAUCCGCUUAAGCAAAGUACAAGUUCCAGAUGAAGAUUUCUUGAAAAAAAAUUAUAAUAAAAUGAUGAUUGCUAUUAUUUUUCAUUGGAAAAGUUUGAGCGGAUAUGUUUAUAGUUAACGUGUAUUUAUCAAUUGAUAAUUGUAGGUUUUAGAAACUUGUAUAUAUAUAUUGAACUUGUUAUCUUAAAUAUUCAUGUUUUUCCUAUAGUACAUGUACGUCGGUGUUAUUAUAUUAAUCAAUGUUUAAAUAUAUUGCUCUACGGUGUUAAAUAUUGCUUUAUAUAGUUUUUCUAACAUCGUCAUGAUUUUUUUUAAAUGUGCACAAUUAUAUUUUUGACAGGGAUUGGUGAUCUUCAUAUUUCAUUGCCUGAUGGACCAGAAGAUAAGAGAUACAUUUUCAAAACAAAAAUACAAGUGGCUUCAGACGCAUACGUUCGAUAGAUCAGGAGUAAAGAAAAAUGAAACAAAAGACACAAACUGAUUCAUCGAUGGAGUAUUUUCGAUAUCGAUCUGCCGAACGUUUGAAUUUUCGUAUCUUCUCAUUGACCCAUCGAACAAAUAUUUCAAAUAUUGAUUUCAACAUGCAACGCUUUGCAAUUUCAGAACUUUCAAUUGAUUCUUGAAAUGUCAAUACGCUAGGGGUUGGCAUAUAUACAGUUAUAUUGUUAACUUUAAAUCGUAACGAGUUGUUGUAUUUCGUUUUCAAAUUGAUGUAUGUUUGUAUGAUUGUUUUUGUUUACCCGUGUAUAAUUAGGAUUAAAUGAUUAUGUGUUAUCGCAAGAAAAAACAAAUACCAGGCAUAGAUAUUGUAAAGUUUGGAUGUAGAUGGUUUUGCUCUGGUUCACACUUUUUAUUUGUAAUGCUACAAAAAUACAUAAUGGUGGUAAGAAUAUUUAUUUAUACAUGUAUAUUGUUAUUUUCAAAACUGAUU